UACGGGGGGAGCAAGCGUUGUUCGGAUUUACUGGGCGUAAAGGGCGCGUAGGCGGCCACCGCAAGUCGACUGUGAAAUCUCCGGGCUUAACCCGGAAAGGUCAGCCGAAUACUGCGGGGCUAGAGUGCAGAAGGGGCAACUGGAAUUCCCGGUGUAGCGGUGAAAUGCGUAGAUAGUCGGGAGGAACACCUGUGGCGAAGGCGGCCCCCUGGUCGGAUGACUGACGCUGAGACGCGAAAGCGUGGGGAGC
rnacentral:rRNA from 1 species